UACAUACGAUGGGGCGAUCGAUAGCGCACAAGACAACUCCCACGUCGAACUGUUUGAAGCCAACGCGUAGCACUUAACUUUCUCGAUAAGGGAAAUUUUCCUAACCCCCGUUCCCUGGCAGAAGUAUCCCUUUUGUUUAUGAGUUCUCCCUAGACUCAAAGUGGUGUGACAUUUACGGGUGCCUGCUUUGAAGAGAGGCCAACUGCUCUCCGUGCUGUAAAAGAGCCACCUGCCUCCCCUCACCUGCCCUUCUGUGAGAGCUUAGAGAAUAAAAACGCCAGAGUUGCAGUGACAGCUAGACCCUGCCUAGUAGCUACUGUACAGCGCAGCAAACCCCCACCCCCAAUUUUGGCUCUUGCAGGAGACAGAAAAGAAGAUAUAAAGAAGGAGAGCUGUUUUCUUUUCAGUAUCUCCCCUCGGCUAAGUCUGGGGAAUGGCCGAAAUCACCCCUCCUCUCUCCAGUCGCCACAAUCAAAUUUACUCUGGCUUGAGUACACGUUUAGUGGGGACCAUUUGUUUGAGGCAAACACUUAGGGCCCUCGUAUGUCAUUGACCAGUGUCCACAAAUAUAAUCCUAUCAAGUUCAAUCUUAGGAUGUCCUGCGCC
ensembl:lncRNA